CGGACGGGUGAGUAAUGUCUGGGAAACUGCCUGAUGGAGGGGGAUAACUACUGUAAACGGUAGCUAAUACCGCAUAACGUCGCAAGACCAAAGAGGGGGACCUUCGGGCCUCUUGCCAUCGGAUGUGCCCAGAUGGGAUUAGCUAGUAGGUGGGGUAACGGCUCACCUAGGCGACGAUCCCUAGCUGGUCUGAGAGGAUGACCAGCCACACUGGAACUGAGACACGGUCCAG
rnacentral:rRNA from 1 species